rnacentral:lncRNA from 1 species
GGUAUUAAUGGAAUGAUUCCAUAUGUAUGAAGAAAUUUUUAGAAACCAUAUACAACAUGUGAAACAACCAGACACAAAUGUAUGAAGAAAUUCUUAGAAACCAUAUACAACAUGUGAAACAACCGGACACACCGAAUAAAAAGAAAGGAGGAUCUACAGAAACUCGUAGAAUAAACUGUUAUGAAAACAAAAUAAUCAAUCUUCAUAUGAUACAUGAACAGAAGUGGAAUUAACAAACACCUAAGGACGGUAUGUACCAUUUUCACUUAGUUAUCUACCGUAGGACUCAACCAAUUGCGAGAAAACCC